AUACGUAGGGGGCGAGCGUUGUCCGGAAUGAUUGGGCGUAAAGGGCGCGUAGGCGGCCCGGUAAGUCUGGAGUGAAAGUCCUGUUUUUAAGAUGGGAAUUGCUUUGGAUACUGUCGGGCUUGAGUGCAGGAGAGGUAAGUGGAAUUCCCAGUGUAGCGGUGAAAUGCGUAGAGAUUGGGAGGAACACCAGUGGCGAAGGCGACUUACUGGACUGUAACUGACGCUGAGGCGCGAAAGUGUGGGGAGCAAACAGGAUUAGAUACCCUGGUAGUCCACACUGUAAACGAUGAAUGCUAGUUGUAGGGGGUAUCGACCCCUUCUGUGCCGCAGUCAACACAAUAAGCAUUCCGCCUGGGGAGUACGGCCGCAAGGUUGAAACUCAAAGGAAUUGACGGGG
rnacentral:rRNA from 1 species